rnacentral:rRNA from 1 species
CAAGGCUUGACAUAUACGAGAACGGGCCAGCAAAUGGUCAACUCUUUGGACACUCGUAAACAGGUGGUGCAUGGUUGUCGUCAGCUCGUGUCGUGAGAUGUUGGGUUAAGUCCCGCAACGAGCGCAACCCUCGUUCUAUGUUGCCAGCACGUAAUGGUGGGAACUCAUGGGAUACUGCCGGGGUCAACUCGGAGGAAGGUGGGGAUGACGUCAAAUCAUCAUGCCCCUUAUGUCUUGGGCUUCACGCAUGCUACAAUGGCCGGUACAAAGGGCUGCAAUACCGCGAGGUGGAGCGAGUCCCAAAAAGCCGGUCCCAGUUCGGAUUGAGGUCUGCAACUCGACCUCAUGAAGUCGGAGUCGCUAGUAAUCGCAGAUCAGCAACGCUGCGGUGAAUACGUUCCC